rnacentral:rRNA from 1 species
AUGCAGUCGAGCGAACAGACAGGAGCUUGCUCCUUUGACGUUAGCGGCGGACGGGUGAGUAACACGUGGGUAACCUACCUAUAAGACUGGGAUAACUUCGGGAAACCGGAGCUAAUACCGGAUAAUAUUUCGAACCGCAUGGUUCGAUAGUGAAAGAUGGUUUUGCUAUCACUUAUAGAUGGACCCGCGCCGUAUUAGCUAGUUGGUAAGGUAACGGCUUACCAAGGCGACGAUACGUAGCCGACCUGAGAGGGUGAUCGGCCACACUGGAACUGAGACACGGUCCACACUAAUACGGGAGGCAGCAGUAGGGAAUCUUCCGCAAUGGGCGAAAGCCUGACGGAGCAACGCCGCGUGAGUGAUGAAGGUCUUCGGAUCGUAAAACUCUGUUAUUAGGGAAGAACAUACGUGUAAGUAACUAUGCACGUCUUGACGGUACCUAAUCAGAAAGCCACGGCUAACUACGUGCCAGCAGCCGCGGUAAUACGUAGGUGGCAAGCGUUAUCCGGAAUUAUUGGGCGUAAAGCGCGCGUAGGCGGUUUUUUAAGUCUGAUGUGAAAGCCCACGGCUCAACCGUGGAGGGUCAUUGGAAACUGGAAAACUUGAGUGCAGAAGAGGAAAGUGGAAUUCCAUGUGUAGCGGUGAAAUGCGCAGAGAUAUGGAGGAACACCAGUGGCGAAGGCGACUUUCUGGUCUGUAACUGACGCUGAUGUGCGAAAGCGUGGGGAUCAAACAGGAUUAGAUACCCUGGUAGUCCACGCCGUAAACGAUGAGUGCUAAGUGUUAGGGGGUUUCCGCCCCUUAGUGCUGCAGCUAACGCAUUAAGCACUCCGCCUGGGGAGUACGACCGCAAGGUUGAAACUCAAAGGAAUUGACGGGGACGCGCACAAGCGGUGGAGCAUGUGGUUUAAUUCGAAGCAACGCGAAGAACCUUACCAAAUCUUGACAUCCUUUGACAACUCUAGAGAUAGAGACUUCCCCUUCGGGGGACAAAGUGACAAGUGGUGCAUGGUUGUCGUCAGCUCCCGUCGUGAGAUGUUGGGUUAAGUC